UCAAGAUCGUGAGAUUGAAGUAUUUAUAAGGUAUUUCUUCUUACACCCAUAUGAGGUUAUGUGUAUAACAUCAACAACGUGAUGGUAGAUGAUCAAAGUUAAACUCUACAGUCUUUUUUUUAUUAUGAUUAGUUAGUUGAUUGAGAAUGAGAUUUCAAAUUUAAGACAUGUAUUAUCAGCUUAAACUUUGAUUUCAAGAUAAGAAAUAAGAAAUAUAUACAAAUAAUUAAUUGAAAAAUAUACAUUCAGGUAGAGUUAUUUAUUUAUUUAUGAAAUAGAUACACAUCCCAAAUCCAAAACUAUUAUCAAUCAAAGCAUAUAUAUAAUUCCAUCUCCAAUUUUUCCUUUUUUUUUUUUUUUCCACUCGUUCACUUAAAACAAACAUUUUUCUUCAAAUCUAAAAAUAAAAACUAUCAUUAUUUCAAAUUUAUUAACACUCCCACUAAUCAAUUUAACUUAAUGUAUUUCCGAAGUUGCCCCUCUUCUCGUUUGAUCAAAUUGACCUUCAAGCCCUUCUUCAUGUAGAAAGUUAGGGCAAGCUUCGGCUCCACCGGAUGCCCCCUCACCACCGCUACCCGGUACCGGCUGAUGAUAGAAGCGGCCACGUAUUUCAUUUGGUAAUACGCAAAAUCCUUUCCAAGACACAGCCGAGGGCCCCCAUUGAAGGCGGUGAAUCGAUAUGCCGAUUCGCUCAUGAAUCGACCCUCUCUCAUCCAUCUCUCAGGUUUGAAUUCGCGACAAUCUUUCCCCCAAAUCGCUUCCAUUCUUCCCAUUGCGUAUAUUGCGUAGAUGAUUUUCGUUCCUUUCUUCAGAACCGUUCCGUCUGGGAAUACAUCGUCCUCCACAACCUGAAUCAGACGGAUUAUCGAUUAGAUUUCUGAAGUUUUCUUUCGAAAUUAGAAUGUGAAUGAGUAAUUGUUAUAAUUACCUCUUUGUGAUCGAAUGGAACUGAUGGAUACAAUCUUAGGGCUUCGGAAAUGGCGGCGUGCAAAUACUCCAUUCUUUUUAUCUCCUCUGGUUUGAACACUAAUGAAUCGAAUCGAAGCUCUCUGGUUUUGGCCUCUUCUCGUUCGCCGACGAUUCUGCAAAUUUCUUCUAGAAUUUUAUCUUCUACAUCGGGAUUUUGAUCGAGCAACAAGAAGAACCAACUCAAUGCUACGGAAGACGUGUCUCUUCCGGCGAGUAUGAAAUUGACGCAAAUAUCUCUGAGAAACUUAUCGGAGAAUGGGCGUCCUUGCUCGUCCCUUAGCUUCAUGAAUACAGUUAAUAGGUCGGAUCUUUGGUUUUCAGCUUGAGAUUCCGCCGGCGUAGAGAGUUCUCUCUUCCGUGUUUGAAUCACGUCCUCCGCAAAUUCGUCGACGGCUUUGAUCGAUUGCUUCAGCUUCUUUUCAAUUCCUAUGUUCAGGUACCUGCUUAAAUUUAAAUUAAUUAAAAAAAAUUGGGUUUUUUUAAAAUAAGAAUAAUACCUGAAUAACAAUUUGAUACAUAGAUAUAUAUUUAUGAAAUUACACAUUACACUCAAAAUAAUCUAUUUACACUUUGUUGUCUCAAAACUAAAUGAUAGGCUUUUUCCACCCUAAAUUAUAAGAAAUAUUUUUUUAAUUUGUGAUUUGAAAAAGGUGCAACAAUGACUUAGGAAAAGAAAAUGAUCAUUGGGGAUGUUCUUAAAUGACAUCUAUUCUGAGAGUAUUUUUUAAAAAGUUGUAGAUAAUGUUACAAAAUUUGAAAGUAAUAGCUUAGUAUAGUUCAAUGGUAAUUUAGCUAUGGUUAUAAUUUACCAAAGCUGUAAUUUAGCCCUUUUUCUAAGUACAAUUUAACCAAUACUUUGUUGCUGUAGAAGUAUGGAGUCAAAAUUUUAUUGACAUUGAUUACUAGUAAUAUCUUAACUGAUUAGUUAGGUUUUGGUGGGCAGCUCUACAAUAAACUAUUUUCAAACAAAAAAGGAUUAACUAUUUGAAUAUGCAAAAUUAGAAAAAGAAAAUACCUCAUGAAUUUCCAUAUGAAUGUAGGUGUGAUGAAGCGUAUAACAGUGACUUCAGUUGCAUCCUCAAAGGCCUUAGCAAAUGGAAUCUCCGGCAAGCCGCUGCGCAAGCAACCGGGAUCCACCCCAAAGGCAAUCAUACACACAUUAUCAAACGUCAACCUCAAUAGAACAUCCUGCAAGUCCACC
rnacentral:lncRNA from 1 species